GUCGUAGGACUCAGCUACAUGCCCAGCAGUAUGUCUGUCUGCAUGCCAUGUCCCACCUUGAUGAUGAUGAACUGAACCUCUGAACUAUAGAUGGGAACCAGUUCCUUUUCAUACAGAAAUACCUCGGUUGAAGAGCUCAGUUGCCUGAAUUUCUUCCACACUACUCAAUAUCAGAAUGCUUGUUACAAACAGGUCAGCGGCACUGGAGUCGUUCGUGGCUUUUCCCACACCCGGGAAUUUACUCCAGGACUUCAUUGUCUGCGGUCUGGAGCUCUGAAAUCUGAACCUGAGGUCUCCACAGUUUCCCCGAUGGGGAAUUCCAGAUAGGCAUUUUAGCAGUACCGAGACAGCAGUUAUUUUGGAAUGUUAACUUUCUGUGGAGGUAGUCAGACAGAAUGGAUUUAUGCUGUCUCACACAGACCAACGGGACCAGAAUAUCUAUUUAUUCAUAACUUCCCACGCACAGGGACAGGAGUCAACACUUUGAGGAACUCUUCCCUCAUCUCCGAAAGAAAAUAACUAUCUGCUAAAAUGUCCUAAUCAAGGUCACUGUGCCCAAGAGCCCCACCUCCGCAGAAUCUCAGUUUUGAGAAGCCGGCAGAAGACAACACGAGAGGCAAUUCAGGGGCUUUCGGGAUGAAGCUUUCCUGGGACGACCAGAGAAAGUUUGUAAGGUCCUUGUCGGCUGCGCACGCACGGGUUUUCUAACCUUGGAGAGUUACUGGAUCAACAGCGGGGACAGGACGUUGAAAUGAAGACCCCGCAGACAGAGCUCUUGAACCGGCCUUCGGGACUUUGGCCACAAGGGUCCUGAAACCUGGCGGUAAAGCCGUUUGAGUUUAGAGUGUUGCACUGGCUUGUGACGUUCUAGGAACUGUGCGUCACGCGUCACGCUGUGUCGAAGCUUUGUUCGUGUCUCCUGUGGUUGUUGCCUCAGCAAGGCCACCAGCUGGGAACCGGAGCUCUGAGGGUCGGUGCCUCAGAACAGGAUCAACAAUCUUUACACGAAGAGGAUACAGAGGAACAAAAGAUUGGGUAGGUGGAGGCUGAUGCUCUGCCUUUGCUUCUUCGGUUACAGGCUCCGAGAUCGCGAGCGACUCCGUAGUCACAGAUAUUCCGUGUCCCGGAAGCUCCUGGUUGCCGAGAGACCAGGAGCUGUUUCAGAUGUCAGGAUGAGAACAAUCACAGCCUCCAGGUCAGAGGACACUAGGCAUUAGGUCCUGCAGUGGUCAGCGCCAACUCCAUACAGCCUAUUGGGGUCGCUUCCACUUUUUUUCGUGCGUCGCCAAGCCUUGCAGACCCUCAGACCAAAAACGCCCAGAAACUCAAGUUGUCCACUUCUCGGACAACUUAAAGGAGGACCGAAUAAACACGGGAGCUCUUCCCUGAAUUCAGACGCGGAGGACGGGACAGUCGGUCCUCGACUCUUCGGGUUCCCACUGAGACAGCUUUGAACCGCCCGGAAGAGCAGGCGUCUUCCAAACUCCUGGAACAGUGAUGACGGUAAAUCCAAGUUCGAGCUGAGCAGAGUUUGGCAUCACCGCGACCUAAGACAAGCGAGACGACUCCGUCCUCUGACCAGCCGGGGCGCGCUGGUCCUGGACUCACUCAUCACUCAGGACUCCGUCGUCUCCGACGGUGGAAGAUGGACAAAGCCUCGCCGGCCGCGAACAAGCAGAUCUUCCGGGCACGAACACCCGGUCUCUGGAGUCCCGGCGUCUAUAAGACUGGAGCGAUGCCUUAGUGGCCCAGUAGAGACGCGCAACUUGGCGGAGUCUGCCAUCUUCAGAGUUAUCCAAAGGUUUUUGACGAAUUGAUUGCGAAAUUCGGCAAAACUGCAAAGGCUAUCAAACUGUCACUCCGAAGCAACAAGGAGAAGUGCGCAGGAGGCGAACUCUGUGAGAACUAGAGGGCGGCUGGCAGUCUGGGAGACCACUGAACGAGUGGACUGGGCUGUCCCGGGCCAGUGUCCCUGGUCAGGAAUCAUUGCAUUGCAACGUGACAUUACUUGCCCUCGUACAGAAUUUUCUUUCUGCCUAGAGAAACUUUCAACUUAGAGCAACACGAGUUUUGUAACUGUUUCCAGUUUUAAGUAAAACAUAGAAAGAGAAAAAAAAACCAAGCAAAAUUCUCUCAAUUGGCAAUUAUAGCCUUAUCUGUAUGGGUGGACUGGAAGGUACUGAUCAUGUGGUUAGUUACGAUGUGGACAGUUACAUCAGUUGGUUAGAACAUUCUGGUAAUAACGCCAAUGUUGCGUCGUCGAUCCCUGUACGGGCCAGGUUGUCUUUCCUUUUAGAAUAAAAUCCGCAAUUUAUAUCUA